rnacentral:rRNA from 1 species
UGACCGAUAGUGAAGCAGUACCGUGAGGGAAAGGUGAAAAGAACCCCGGAAGGGGAGUGAAAUAGAAUCUGAAACCGUGGGCCUACAAUCGGUCGGAGCACAUUAAAGUGUGACGGCGUACUUUUUGUAGAACGGGCCAGCGAGUUACGGUAUAUAGCAAGGUUAAGCACUUAUGGUGUGGAGCCGAAGGGAAACCGAGUCUGAAUAGGGCAACUAGUUGUAUAUUGUAGACCCGAAACCGGGUGACCUAUCCAUGGCCAGGAUGAAGCGGAAGUAAAAUUCCGUGGAGGUCCGAACCACGUUGGUGUUGAAAAACCAUGGGAUGAGCUGUGGAUAGCGGAGAAAUUCCAAUCGAACUCGGAGAUAGCUGGUUCUCCUCGAAAUAGCUUUAGGGCUAGCGUCGGGUAAUUGAGUAGUGGAGGUAGAGCACUGAAUGGGCUAGGGGCUGACAACAGUUACUGAACCCUAUCAAACUCCGAAUGCCAUAUACUUGUACCCCGGCAGUCAGACUACGAAUGAUAAGAUCCGUGGUCAAAAGG